rnacentral:rRNA from 1 species
GUCCACGCUGUAAACGAUGAGCACUAGGUGUCGGCCCCUUAGGGGUCGGUGCCGCAGUUAACACAUUAAGUGCUCCACCUGGGGACUACGACCGCAAGGUUGAAACUCAAAGGAAUUGACGGGGGCCCGCACAAGCGGUGGAACAUGUGGUUCAAUUCGACGCUACGCGAAGAACCUUACCAAGGUUUGACAUGCUAGUGGUAGUGAAGCGAAAGCGGAACGACCUCGCAAGAGGAGCUAGCACAGGUGUUGCAUGGCUGUCGU